AUUCAAUGAACGUUUGUAAUGUUAGCAGGUGUGUGGGUGAGUGCUCCCUGUGAUGGAACGGUGUCCUGUUCAGGACUGGGUGCCACCUGGCACCUUGAGCUGCCAGGACCGGCUCGGGCUGCUCGCGAUCCCAAACUAGAACAAAUGGGUGGCCACCCUCCUGUUGCCGCUUCACAUGGUCUUUCCUCUGUGCGUGCGCAGCUCUGGUGUCCCUCUCCAUGUCCUAAUCUCUUCUCAAAAGGACACCAGUCAUACCUCACUUUACCUUCGUCACCUCACCUUAUCUCCAAGUACAGUCACAUUCUCAGGUCCUGGGAAUGAGGAUUUCAGCAUGUAAAUUUUGCGGAGA
rnacentral:lncRNA from 10 species